AGUAACUGGUAUUAGAUACCAAGUGCAAGUAGCAAUUUUUGUCCCCAUCAGCUGUAGCUGAGCGUGUUCGGGUUAUUUGUGUUCUAAGCUUCAGACUUUCAAGUCAGGUACUCAGAAAACAAAGAGCCUACAAUUAAUGAUCACCCAUGAAAAAUUUAAAAGAUGUAAUUAGCAUCCUAGGAAGUCCAUGGUGGAAGCCAGGAAGGAAGGAAAUUCCCUCCUCUCUCUGGAGCAAUAUUCACUUUCUUAGCCAUGAAAUGAUUUUUUCCUUUCCUGUAAUUCCUUGCCUCAUUGCUGCACCUCCUAACCUCAGCUAAAAAUAAAUCAUGGUCCUUUGACAGCAAUCUGCUUAGUUUUACAGUCCUGCCUCAUCCUUAAAGGUUACAUAGUUACAACAGAACAGGCAAAAUAUCCUCCCAUGCAUUUUUAACUUCUUAUUCAAUAAACUGUAAUUUCCCUCCUCAGCUCAGCAUCACAGAUCUUCCCACAUUUCCCACAGAAUGAGGGAACCUUCUGCGGUCCAGGUUGUGUCCAUUGCCUCUUGUCCUGACCCUUGUCUUCAUCUUUUUGGCCAGCCACUCACUCCUGGCUUUUUUGUCCCUGCGCUUUUUAUUUGUCAUUGCUUUGCUUGGUUGUUUUGAGCUCCUCUUCUAGGUCCCCAUCAGCCUUCCCCUUCCCCUUCGCCUGCUCUGCUCCCUGGCAGGGGGGUGGUGGAAUGGCCUCUGCCCAUGCUGCUCCCUGGUAGAUGCUUCUAGCAUCUAAAAGAUGAGCUUUGGUCUUCCAAAAAUAUGUAUCGGUGGUGGUGACAUGCAAGCUAAAGUUCCACGUGGUGAGAACUUUCGACAUUAUACCUAAUGGCUUCUAGAUCUAGAAAAUGCUUAUGGCAGCAAAGAAUAUUACACUCCCUCUGAGGAAAUGAAAUCCAAAGAAAAGCCAGAACGUGAAGGAGGAGGAGGGACAGAAGGCCGGGAUGUUUCUCUGAGAGUCGGUCCAAGUUUCUGUGCCACUGCUUUGCAGAGAUUGUUGUGGCAAGUAAUCUUGGACUCAUGUUCAAAGCAGCAAUUAGGGGGAGGCUGAAUCAAGUGAGCAUGUACAUGUCUGCAGCAGAGUUAAGAGAGGGCCAUCUGCUGUGCAGCAUUUUGAGAGUGUUUUCUAAGUGAACUACACCUGCUGCACAUGUGGUAAUUAAAUUUGAAAUAGAAGAGUCAAAAUAUUCCUGCAGCAAGGUUGUUGAUGAAUAAGGCUUACCAAUCUGAUUAUAGACAUUUAUAUAUUUAUUUGUGCACAUUACAUGACAAAUAAAAUCACCACUCUGAUUUGUUUGUGCUAAUAGAAAAUAGACCCAUUUGCACUCCAUUGUUAAUGUGAUUUUAUGGGAUUUAUUGACAUGGCAAGUUUAUUUUAGACAUAUGAAGACAUAUGAAGACCCAGGAGAGUGGGAUUGCAGUAGUAACAUUAAUUUGUCAUCUCAGUGCUAAGAAGGAAGGGAAAAAAAAAAAAAAAAAAAAAAAGCUUGCAGAGCUUUGUUUUACCUGCAGGGGUUCUGAAGGAGCAGCUGUCACUUUUUUUAGUCUUAUUUAAUAUAUGCCAUCAUUUUUCAUCGUGCUCCCGAAUUGAUACUGCAGCUAUGCUGGGGGAAAAGGAAGCUCUCCACCUGCUCCAAGUCCAGAACAAAGUGCUUAAUCUUGGAGACAAGCACUGAAAGCAAAAGGGAGUUUCUCUGUGUGAAUCUAGUUGCUCUGUUGCAGAAAUAAUGGCAGUGGAUUUCUGUCUCUAGUCUACUGUAGCUAAUACUGAUUUCUGUAAGCUGAUGGAGCAUGCAGUACCCUAUUACCAAAUGCCAUCACAGACAUGUUUUGUAACCACUGCCAUGCCACAGUUGCACAGUGCUGUGCUCUGAAGUGUUAUGAAGGCCCUCGGGCAGCCCGAAUGUAAAAACAUUUGGUGAAGAAUCGUGAAGACAACUAUCAUCAUCUGGGGGGGAGUUUUAAUUUGAAAUAAGCUUUAUUCCCAAAUAAAACCUGUCAUUUGGGUCUCUGUUGCCGUAGAAUGAUUUUUUUUUUUCCUACAGAAGCAGGAAUAGUUGAGACUUAUUGUUAGCAGCUAAUCAUUGGUAAGCCAUUUCAAUAACUCCAGUAAGCCUGUUUCUUGAGUUCUGUAUGCCUCGUUAUAAGGAAUGGCUCCAGAAUCUGCCCUUUCACCAACGUGCCAAACUGCACAUCCAAAAAGGCUUCAGAGACCCAGCUGCAUGCUCCCGGUUGUAUCAAAGGUUGCUGUCAGUGUGGUAUCUUCUCUUGUGCUUUUCUCAUGAAGAAAAUCUUUGUGUUUGGGGCUAGAUGGGAGCAGCAGCAGGCACCAAAUUGGGACGAGUGCUCCGACACUCACCGCCUGCUUCCUUCAGGCACAAGCAUCCGGAUCCCACUUUGUCAAAUGUGCUCCGAGCAGGUAAGUGUGCUGAGUGUGCGAUUUGAUAGUAUCUUCUUCUCUUGGCUGGGCUGUCUGGUGGGUGCAGUCACUUCUUUUUGAGGCUUCCUGCAUGAGAUGGUUGGCAGCUGGUUUUGCAAGAGGCGCUGCCUUCUUCUGUUUGUCUGGGUGCCAGCUUAAACUGUUUGGACAGCUUUAAAUCUUUCAUAAAGUGCUUCUUCAAGUAAAAGCUUUGUUUUAAGGUGUCCAACUACCUACAAAAAACUAAAAAUAAUAAAUUACGUCCGGUGCCUGCUCACCAACUUGCUUUACAGGCUUUUCUGUGGCCCUCUUCUGUUGGCAGGAGGGGGGCCUGGGGAUGCUGAGCAUCCAGGGAUGUUUGGGGCAUGUCUGGGAGCCAAGCCCCACAUUCAUGAAUCUUAAUGGAAGUGGCUGAAACUCAAGUUCAGUUCUUACCCUUUUUCUGUUAAAAAAAAAAAAAAAGAAAGAAUGAAAGGAGCUCACAGCCUUUUAUCAUACAGCCUAAAUUCCUUUAUUCAUGAAAGCACAUAAAAAUCAUGCAGGCUUAGGAAAAGUGCCUUCCUCAGAGGCCACGAGCAGCCCCGUUGAUUUCUUUAGGAGAUGGAGCACAGCUAGAGCUGGGAUGAAGCCCUCAGCCUCCUGCUAGGUUGUAUCUUGCUUGUGCACAUUCAGUUAAACAAAUUGCUAAAUCUGAGUCAGUUUUUAUGGCUUUGUAGUUUUGUACAAAGUAUUCAGGUUGCAGAUUGUUACUGGAGUUGAAAAAAAUAUGUUAUUGUGUGUAAUAAUAAAGUAGACAGUAAAAUGGAUUUCCUUUUAGGUUUUCUUUGCUCCAAAUAUGUACUAUGUAUUUUCUUCAGCUCACUAAGAGAAUAGUCUACUGAAUGAGGCAUGGUCAGGGUGUCGGGAGCCUUGGAUUUAAUUUCCAGGCCUGUCAGAGUUUCCCUGUGCAAUGACUAAGCAAGUCCAUUAGGACUAGAUCUGCAGAGAAAUUUAAGGCUAUAACUCCAGGUGAGGACGAUCCUUCUUCAGCUGCUGCUUAAUCCUUUAUUCUGUAAUUGCUAAUUUCGGUCACUCAGCUGUAUGAUUUCUGAGAGUAAAAUUCCCAAGAAAAUAAUUCUUCCCGUGAAUUUUCAGGAGCCAGGGGGUUAAAGGUGGGACUGAGGACUGAGUAGCUUUAGGAGUAAGCUUAUAUAGUUUCCUUAUUCAUGAGCUGUGAGGGUACUAACAUACAAGCUGUAGUACCUCCUCACCCCACAGGGGUGCUGGAAGCAUUAGAGAUCAUGAGGAAAAGGUAAGCAUGAGUCCCUUUCUGGGCAGAAGUGUGUUACCUCUGGGUACUUCUGCAUGUCCUUACAGAGUUCAAUGACUGUGAUCUAUAAAAAAGAGGAAUUUAACUAAAACUGAAAUAAUCUAAGUUACCAAGAGAGAGUUUAGCCAAGACAGUGGAUUUAAAUCUACUACUUUCAAGAUGAUUGCUUUUGAUACUCUUGUAAUACAACUGCAUAAGAUGUCAUUUAGGUUUUCACCUGGAAAACAGCAUUUCAGUCCAUAUGCUGUGCUAAAUUUGUCCUGUGGCAUUGAAUCAGUGAGAGCAGAUAGGCACUACAAGUUACCAUGGCACCUCCUGGGCGAUUUACCUCAUGGUUCCCUUGAGGAACGGUGUCUCUCAUGUGAGUACACACACCACUUCCAGGGACAGUGCGUUUGUAUUAAUGGUGUUCCUUUUUGGUUUGUUUGUAUUGUUCUCAGAUAUAACACCAAAACCGAGCUUUUCAGAUCACCCCUUUUCCUCUGAAGACACAAGCUUCCUGUGUGAACGUGUGGGCCUGACCCAGGUGCUGAGGCUAUCGGCAUUGCUGCUUCUGUCGGCCUCUGAGGAGCUGCUUGGCAAGUAACGUGGGCACAGUCUGAUGGUAUUUCGGGAAGCCAGUAGCUCCCCAAAGGGCUUUCCUGGAUUUAGGAAUGAAUUAAAGUUUCACUGUUCAUAUUAAGGAUAUCACAAAGGUCGCUUGCUGAUCUCCAGAGGAGACAGGCAGCUGAACUGUGCAGGAGAUAAAAGCUCUCUGCCAAAUAAUCCAUUGAGCAAAUAAUUGGCUGUGCCUUCAGACUGCCGUGAUACCAUGACCGUUAGGAGAAAACAUCACUGGAAACGUCUGAGCAUGGUAAAAUCUCACAAAAUUCAAUCUCAGAAGUUACAGACUCAGGUAUGACAGUCAGGUAUGACAGUCAAAUGCAUGAAGCUGUUUAAUUCUAUACCCUUUAUUUAAGAGCUUUUGUAGCAUUUUGCACCAAUACAGAAAUAGGUGGCACCUCAGAGCUACUACAUUUCAGUCUCGCUGAAUGUUUCCAGGAAGCACUCAAAUGAUCAAUGGAGACAUUUUUUUUCUCUUAGUCAUAGACAUUUAAUUUUAUGUGUAUUCCAUAUAAACAGGAUUAGGUUUAAUCAACUGUAGUUUUCUUAAGUGUGAGUUAUUUGGCUGUCAUACCUGCGCUAUAAUUUUAUUAAUGUCUCAAUGGAUACUUAAAUCAAUAUCUUCUGGUCCCACCUGCCCUGCUUUCCCUUGCAAAUAAACAGCCAUGCUAUAGUUAACAAACAAGUGGAUGCUUAGGAACAGAGGUGCCUUUUCUUCUGUGGUGUGGAUUAACUUUGCAACCUGGAAGUGGCAGCAGCAGAAGGGCAGGCACCCCUAUGUUAUGGUGGGCUCACCCACGUUCUUGCUUCAGUCUGAACUCAACUGCAGUUUUGAGAUAUCUCUCCCAGUUGUCCCCACUUCCUGGGUUUGGGCUGGCAUUGUCAGAAGUCUCAGGGUGCAGGAACUGGAACCCUUUCAGGUGAUACUAAAGCAAGCUGUGGCAUUCAGCCCAUGGGGCCAGAUAGUCUGAAGUUAAGUACCAAAAUCUAAAAUGUGUAUGCUGUUGGUAUCAAAUUUUCUGCAUCAACAGUUUUAAUCUAUGGACCUACUGCUUUUCAUCCACACUACUUGCUAAUGUAGCGAAAAGUACAGGCUUUUUUUAUUGAUGAUUUCCAGGUAGCAGGGAACAGAAAGUAUCCCUCAUCUAUAGAGUGACACAGAGACUUCGAGAUUUGUAUUUUUUCAGUAGUCAGAACAGAAAUAGCAUUCUUAUGCAUUAUUGCUGAUUUAUUUAACUUGCACUAUUUGAAUUCUUGUGCAAUUGAAAGAUCAGAAAUAAGAACGCCAGGAAAUAGUUUAAUCUGCUGCUCCAGUUUCUCUCUACUGCUAGAUAAUCAGUUUUUGAUUGAAAAUGUGACCAUUGUGUUGUCAGCGCCUUUGACUUGUUUAAUUUUAGUUUCCUCUGUUUCACUGUUCAUGACAAACGAAAUCACCUGUAAUGAAACUUAUGGAACGAUGGUUCUGUGCAGCCCAGCUAUGUGCAUUGUCUGCUUACAGCUGUGAUAAACAUAGCUGAUAAACUAGGUGAUGAGGACUACAUAAUACACAACUGCAUGCACACACUUGUAUAUACGUUUAUGAUAUACACAUAGGACUAAUCCACACUGAUUGAUUACAUCAAUCCAAUAUAUUGCAGAGAAUAAAGUCAAUGUUAGGCCUUACAAAUGGCAAAUGGAUUUUUUUUUCAUAAAACUUUCACCUCUUACACUCUGUAAUGGGGUGUCCACAGAACAAAAUGCAGAGAAAGUGUAGUCUGUAUGUUUAAUUCCUCAUAAGGCAAGAGAAAAUAUGUUCCCUAGGUCCAAAUAAACCACUGUUUCAUUGACUUCAAAACAUUUUGGCCAUAUAAGUUCAGCUCCUUUGAGUCCUAGCAUCUGCCUUACUGGGGCUGGCUUCUGUGUCUGGCAGGAUGUAUUGCAUCUCAAGGAGUAUUUUCAUUAUGAUUACUCAAAAGGCCAUUUCUUUAUAGGACGUGUUAUUUUCUCUGAAACCCUCUUUUCUUGUACCCCACAGGAAAGCAUCAGAGUGAGAUAUGUCAUGAAUUAUUUUUGGAGUGACUGGGUCAGGCAUGUGGCAAUAGUUUAUUGUAAGUGCAAAACGGUGUGCAAUGAAUAGAAGCAGUUUGAUAUGAUUUUCUGCUUGUAGUGGCUUUUCAGUCUCUAAAAAGCAAAACUGAGAGUAUAUAUUGAAGUAGAAGCUCAAGUGUUUUCCUAUUUUCUGAGUUGAUAUGAGCUUUAUGUGUCUUUAAAGCACAAGGCUUAGGAAAUACUCUUAUUAUGAGGUGUCUGUUUCAGUACAGCCAGGCAUUCAGCUGUGCCUGCAGUUUUCAGAAGAUGAACACAUGACUGAGGAAGAGGAAGACCUGUCAGGAAAAGAAGCUGGGGUAAAUCCAAGUUUUCAGGAAAACAGACUCUGGACCUUGGACCUCCUUAUGGACUCGUCAGAGAGAAGGCCACCUGGGAGGACUUGCAGAGGAAGAUCCGGACUAUGGUCUAAAAGGGGUCUGUUUUGGCAAGGACAAGAGAGAUGGCUUAAGAAUACAUACAGCUGGAAGAGUUCCUGGGAAACAGUAAAGCAGGUCAGGUUUACUGCUGGUAUCCUAUUGAUUUAGGAGGCUAAGUCUCCAGCACUACAUUGUGAACAUAGUCCUCAUCCCCUGAUAGUCAUGUGGCGGUGGUGGCAGAGAAGGACUCCAAAGCUUUAACAGAGGCUACCAAACCUUGAUAUGACAGGAGAAAGGUAGCCCUGAAACAUGGGCUUACUGGGAACAGGCAAUUUGCUCUGUGUGUCUAGAAUGCUAAUUUUUUUCCUUGAAAAACAGGAAAGCAUAUUUGAAGACACUGUAAAGCCAGGUAGCAUAUAGCUGUCAUUUAUUUGUCAGGAAAAAAAAAAGGAAAAAUCUAUUUUUAUUCUUGAGCAAUCUUUUCACUUUCCUUCUUUUAAAACACAAUGACAGUUAAUGAUUAAUAGACACAGUCCACAGUGCUGCCAGCAGGAAGCCAGCCUGAGUGUGGGGGAAGUCUAAAUAAUUGAAGGGAAAAGGUGACAGAGGCAGCCGUUAGUUCUUCUGGAUAAGAAAGGCUUCAUUGCCUGGCUAUUUGCCCAAAUAAAAGGGAGAAUUUACCAUUUGAGUAGUGUGAUCUGUAGAUUUCAUGGUGGACUUUUCUCGGGGGCAAAGAAAACGACAGGGCUCAGUGUUUCUAAAUUUGUAGAAAUUGAUGCAAACCUCCUAAUUUUUAGUUGCAUUACAGCACUUACACCAUAACCAGCUUGUCAGAAAUAACUGGGCAGGAUUCCAGAAACAAAACUGAGCACCCUAUCGCAGCAUACCGACGCCCUAUAGCAGCAUGAAUCAUGUAGCACUGGCUAGCUGCCUUCACGGAGUGACUCUUCUCCAUGGGCAUCCUGGUGGUUGUGGGAGACCCUGCAUACUUGCAAAAUCAGGUCUGUAAUUUUACAGGACUGAGCAAAUCGGAGUGGCAAAUGUCAAGCUGAAAACUAACUCCAGUCUUCUCAAGCUGGGCAAUGAAAAACAAGUGCCCAAAAUAAAUAAGCACUUUUCAAAGAGUAGGUUUCAAUUUGUUUGCUGAACUGCACAUUCUGCAGCUCUAUAUCAUGGAGAUAAGUGGAGGGAGGAUAUUGUUUCAGAUUCUCUUCAGGAGAAUAGAAGAACCUUUCCUUCAGUUUUGUGGACUACUGUCUCAUCUGACACCUCACAUAAUGUAGUUUCCUUUCAUUUCUAGGCAGAACUUGAGAAGUGCCAGGAAACAAGCUGUCCUGUUUUCUACAGGAAAAGUUUCCUGGAGCCUAAUUAGUCUUUUUGCACAGGCAAUAACAAUAAGGCAAUUGUUAAAUGAUGGCAUUUAACUGGUGAUGUAAAAUGAGAUGGUGAUGUAAUGAGAAGCCAUCUGUUAGUUCCAUGUGGUUGUUAGAACUUACAGCAGUGACCAUGAAAGGAUGCAGGGGCCAUGCACUGGAGCUCAUGAACUGCGUGAGCCAUUUCUGGGACAUUUGGACAUUGAGCUCAGUCUUUGCUAACUUCAGGGCUCUCCCCAUGGCCCAUGACUGUUCUAGAUACUGUUUUCUUGAAGAAUUUGUGUCUGCUAUCCCUCCUGAUAGUCUUGUAGCUAUAUCAUGUUGCUCCUUAUACUAACUGAUUGGCCCACUUCUAUGUAACUUUUAUGAGAAGGGGCUGGUGUUGCCCAGAGUCUUGUUUUGGCUUACAUUUGAAGGAAUGUGUGGAAUCUAUUUAAUGAGACCCUGUUGUGUAAGCUGGUUAGGUGACUGCCUAACACCCUGGUCACGGAGGUGACAGUUAAAUGCUGGAAGAUUUCAGAAAAAGUUUUUUUUGUGCACAUAUAUUUUACCAUAACUCAAAGGAGCUUCCUAAAAAAAUCAUUUUUCUCUAACAUUUUUCAUUGUGUCUGUCACUUGCAGGUGGCAAUGAGCUAGCACCUUUUCAUGUUGAGAUUCUCACUCUUGAGCCAUUUAAUUAGGAUAGUGAUGUUGUGCGGAGAAUAAGAAUUGGAAUUAAUUUUUAAUAUUUUUGCAUCCAGUAACUCCUGAAUGUUUUGGAAAAAAAUCUAUAAAAAUGCAAGGAGAUCUGCCAUAUGUCAUCUUGUACUUAAUAGCCUGCUGAAGAGGAUAUUGUUAUUGCAACACUUAUUUCUACACCAGCAUUCAACUAUUUACAGACAUUCUCUAUUCUUUCAUCAACGUGUAACAUUAAGUGGCUCUCCACAACCAUGUCGGGUGUGUGCUGGAAAUGUUCCAGAAAGGUAUUGAAACAACAUAAAGGAGAGUGUAAUAGAAGCUAAUGACCUUUUCAAGUUUUGUUUUGUUUUGUUUUUUAACAUGAAGGGGAAUCACAAAUGUAUUUUGGAUUUGUUUCCUAAAAGCAUCACACUCAGUCCAAGUGAUAAGAAUUGUAGGAAUGAAGGCUGAAGAGAGAAAUUGGAGUUAAGGGGCUUCAUGUGAGAGCAGAAAAUACUAAUGAUUCCUUGGAUGUCAAUGAGAAGGAAGGAUGUCAAAAAAGAGAAAAAGAAUUAAUUUAACAAGCAAAGUCAAGCAAGAGAAGGUCAUGGAGAAGAAAAGAGGCCAUGGCUGUGGCAGGACAAAGAUAGCUGAAUGCACAGGAAUGCACAGGAGCUCCGUGAUUGAGACUCAGAAGCAUUUAGCUAAGUUACAAACAACAGCUAUGUAUGAAUGGAAGUCAAGGAUCUAUUUUGUCUACUACAUCCAUAAUAGUAUUGCCUAGAGGCAUUCUGCCUGCAGAGACUCAGGAGGUAGCAGCAACCUUCCUACAGUGUAAAAACUGUAGGGAGGUCGUGUCCUGAUCCCACAACUACUUCCCAUCUGGUAACGCUGAGAUGAUUUUCCCUCCCUGCUUAACAACCUUGCAUUGAAAGGUGGCUGCUGUCAGAUACCAGAGUGGUGUCUAAAGGAAGACUCCCAAGGGACUUUACAAGUUGAUGCGAGGGAGGAGCAGGGCUCCUGCCAAAGAGCAGCUUGAGGAUGAAGGAGGCACCAGAGACAAAGGCUCAAUCUGAGGCCAUCUGGGUAUUAAACAAGGAGGGGACACACCUAGCCCUCACGGAGGGUGAGCUGGAGACUGGUCGCUUUUGGUUGUCUGAAGCAAAACUCACGUGUCUACUGUGAUUUUUUUAGAGGAAGUGGCAUAGAAUUAUUUCUUUUGAGCAACAGUUUUAAUUCAGAGAUUUUGUAUAUUUAAGCUCUUGACAGCAGAUCUAAUGUUCUUGCUAAUAGAGCUAAAUUACAGAACAGAGGCUUCAUUUUUAUUAUAUAACAUAUUGUAAGUCUGCAGUGGUUCUGAGUGAGACUGGGAGAAAAAAACAAUGUUGUGUUAAGUGUGUGACCUGUUUUGAUUGCUACAUCUGUCACGUUUCUCUUCCAAUUCUGAUUUUUCUUUCCACUAUCUUAAUAUCUUUGAGUUUGAUGAAUUAUUUCUAAACACAGGAAUGAUGAAAACUACAAGAAUUGGCUCUAAGACUGCUUAGUUAUUGCAUUGUGUGAGGAUAGUUUUCUUUAAUACACCACCUAUUUACAAAGUACUCAGAAGCUGAUUUAUUACAUCUCAUGGGCACUCUGCAUUUCUCUGGAUAUUUUGCAUUUUCUGCAUUUCUAAUGGAUAUUUUCCUUAGCUCCUGUGACUUCUGAAUGUCUGCUGUCAUUUUGGACUGUGAGAAACUGAUGUACCAACCAGCUUGCUUCAGCUGAUGAAAAAGUCUGUGUUAGAGGGCAAGUCACAAAUAUGCUGGAGGCCAAAUGCUGGAUGAAGGACAAGCCAUUUUGAUCUCAACAAAGUUUUCAUAGUGCAUCAUAUUUUUUACCUGUGUGCUCAGAUGACCCCAAGUCCAGUGUGUGGUAACACUAUUAACUCUGGUAAGUACAUAUGAUUUUGGAGUUGUGAUACAAUUAGUUGUGAGAAGCUAGUUGUGAGGAAGAGCAUACAAUACAAAUGAAAGUGUGUUUCUUGAACUUGCAUUGAGGUAAGCUCUGUAUGUACUAGGCCAGACCUAUACAUAUAGGUAUAAAUCUAUAAAUAAUAUGAAAAUGACAUGUAAGGGGUAUACUCUAUAUAGUCUAUGUCUGUGGAAGUAAUUCACACUCUGUAGUACAGAAAACAGAAUUUAAGAAGCUACAAGAAUGUUUCAUUCUCCUAGGACUAUCUUUGCUGUUAUGAAACCAAAGCCUCCAUAUUGACACCCAAGUUUCUUUUCUGUACACUAAAUAUAAUUUUGAGUGCAAACUUUCUUUAGAAGUCAGAAAGCUCUUCAGAAGAAAAAAAUGUUGGCGAGUUGGAUAUUGUUGAGCUAAAUCAUACUGUGCAGACCUUCUAUGAAAAAUUAGCUCCAGAACUUACUGUACUGCUUAAAUGAGGCCUGUAGUUAAAAGCAAAAAUAUUUGCACUAUGAGCAGAUUAAUUCUAUUCUGCAGGACAUGCCUUUAGUAGGAAUAAUUCUUCAAUGUCAGUUUAGCAACAAUUUUUUGUAUCUGCCUGAACACCUCUUCUGAGAUAGAGCUGGUAAUCCAUCCCAUUAAAGACUUAAAUACUUCUUUUAUACUAAAACAUUUUUCUUUAUUCCAUAAAUAUCUGGUGGUGCUUAUUCUGAACUGAAGUGGGAUAUACUGCUUAAUGUGACAUCGUGAGCUCUGAAUUUAGAGACGAGUGAUGUCAAAGUGUUCCUUUUUCAAAGCAAUUAUUUUGAUAAAAUUUUCUUUAAUACAUUGUGUAGGCCUAUUAAAAGACCUGUCAACACUGCAGAGGCCCAACAUAAAUUUUUCAUUUCCACAGAUGGAUUUAUCAGAGAUAAUGGAUAAUUUUUUAAAUUUUGUUUCAGAGACUUCUAGCGGAGCUAAUCCCAGCAGAACAGUGAGCAUAGUGCUGUUCUAGCAUUUACUUGAGCAUUUAGCCACCAUUUCUGUCUCGACCCAAAUCCCCGACUGCACUGACCUCUGCAAGGGCUGGGCCUUUAGGAUUACCUGAAAGGGCAUUAAAGAUAAAGCAGGAACUGCGUUUCCACUUUAGCCAACAUGUAGGACUCAGCUGACCUUCUUUUGAGAGGUUCUCAUUAAUUUCAGUGGCUAUUGAAGUACAGCAUCUCUUUCUCCUCCCCAAACUAGACUAAACCUUCUUCCUUCCCCCUGUUCCAAUAUCCCAAAAUCAGGGGAAGAAGUGCAGAUGGGGAAACUGUCCUCUUUCAGGAUUCUUGGAAUGGGAUUUAUCCAGUCACCAGGCGGAAUUUAUGUCUCCGUCUCCUUAAGAUAAAAUACAGAGUGUCAGCAGAAGCAGUAUCUUUGUGGUAAUUAUAUUUAUAUGCUAAUAAAUGCAUAGUGCUUGCUUUACAAUAAAAUAGAAGCUGCAUUUUAAUUUGAUCUUAGUAUUGGUCAGAUGAAUAAAUGUAUCAUUUCUUCGUCAAGCAGAAAUAUUACAGAAAUGAAGUUAAGUAGCAUUUGGAUGCACUGACUUUGUAUUUACUUGAUUUUACCUGAGGAAAAAGUACAUGGAUUAUGUUGCUGUUGGAUUGCUGUCCAUGGCAAAGUGUGAUGACAAACUGGAUUAAGGUAAUAUAAGUAAAAUAGAAGACAAAUGUUACUUCAAAUACAUGCUGAUAUUUAUUGAGAUGUUGCAGAGUCAUCAUUAGAUUUAACUCAAUAUAAAGGACGUUAUAGUAACAGCAGCAGCAACUCUUGCAGUGCUGUUGCUGACUUGGGGAUUUUAUGAAUGUUACAGAACUUUUAGGAAAGCUCCAGAACUUUUGCCAAGGAAAAUAAAAGGCCGGAGCAGUCAACUCAGGGUGUUGAAAUAGAUGAAAAUAAACCAAAGUAAACAGGAAUUGUCAACUUUUUACAAAUCAAUCUUAUACUUCAAUUAAGGAAAGAAAAAAAUGCUAGCAUGCUUAAGUAUGUGCUAAGCAUGCUAUAUAAAGUCAUUUAUUGUCACCUGUUAAAGGUUAUUUUUACAGAGAGCAAAUUGAAGGGGAGUUUACCAAUGACUUCACAUUAGACAUUAGAUCAGAUAAAGGGAGUAUUUCAGACUUAUGCAUUUGAUAUGCUAUGUAUACAAAAUUUAUGUGGACUGUUUAAUGAUGUUCACUGUGUAUCAUCUGUUUAGAACACAAGACAUCACCACAAGUACUACCGUUUGACAGUUCUAGAUAUGCUUCAGGAUGGAAAUUCAUGAAGCUCGUAUCUUUUGGGAAUUUUGUAAUCUUGGCUUUCACUGAAGUUUCUAGAUAAUUUUACAUAUUUUUUAAUGACAAUAAAACCUACAGUGAUAUGACAUAAAGGAUCUGUUACUGAUUGCAUACUUUCAGAUGAAUAAGUGUCAAUUCAAUACAUACAGUGUAUCAUUUUCCAGCAGAUAAACCAAUUUCUGUGCUAUUUAAUUCACCAAGAGGUGGCAGCCUUCACUUGAUUCCCUCUACACUUGUCCUGUGAUGUAAGUUGACCAGAUAUGUGGCACUGGUACGCAUUGAGGCAUUGAUACGCUUGUACAAUGGUUGGUGGAUGUCUACAGAUGGAUUUUCAGGCUGUGCCAAUACCAUUGGUAUUCUGUAUUAUUGAUUUGAUAAUAAAAUAGCUGGAAGAAGACAAAAUAUAUAAGAAAUUAAGUUGUGACCUUUGUUAUGAGUUGAAAUAAUCGCCCAAAAGCGGACUUGUUUUGAAGAUUGAGUCCUACUUCACUUUGAGCCCUUUGCUAACAAUCCCAGUCCCUGCUGAAACCUGGAUCAGAAGUUUUUUUCUGUUCUCCCUAAGGAGAAUGGGAAUGUUCCUCUGCCUCUGGUUGGAAGUUCUGGACAAUGGUAGGUACUGGAUGCGUUCAUAAAAACACACAUACAAAACAUUAAAAACUGAUUUACUUGUUCUUUUGUUGUUAAAUGUUCAUUAUUUUUAAUGCAAUUAAAGCUAUUCAAAAACACAUCA